UACAGAGGCCCCAAGCGUUAGGCGGAAUCACUGGGCUUAAAGCGUGUGUAGGCGGAUCGUUAAGUGCCUUGUGAAAUCCCACGGCUUAACCGUGGAACUGCUUGGCAUACUGGCGGUCUUGAGCAACCUAGGGGCGAGCGGAACAAAUGGUGGAGCGGUGAAAUGCGUAGAUAUCAUCUGGAACGCCAAUGGUGAAAACAGCUCGCUGGGGGUUUGCUGACGCUGAGACACGAAAGCCAGGGGAGCAAACGGG
rnacentral:rRNA from 1 species